rnacentral:rRNA from 1 species
UACGUAUGUCACAAGCGUUAUCCGGAUUUAUUGGGCGUAAAGCGCGUCUAGGUGGUUAUGUAAGUCUGAUGUGAAAAUGCAGGGCUCAACUCUGUAUUGCGUUGGAAACUGUGUAACUAGAGUACUGGAGAGGUAAGCGGAACUACAAGUGUAGAGGUGAAAUUCGUAGAUAUUUGUAGGAAUGCCGAUGGGGAAGCCAGCUUACUGGACAGAUACUGACGCUGAAGCGCGAAAGCGUGGGUAGCAAACAGGAUUAGAUA